rnacentral:rRNA from 1 species
UACGUAGGGGGCUAGCGUUGUCCGGAAUCAUUGGGCGUAAAGAGCGUGUAGGCGGCCUGAAAGGUCAGCUGUGAAAACUCGAGGCUUAACCUCGAGACGUCGGUUGAAACCAUCUGGCUAGAGUCCGGAAGAGGAGUGUGGAAUUCCCGGUGUAGCGGUGAAAUGCGCAGAUAUCGGGAAGAACACCCGUGGCGAAGGCGGCACUCUGGGACGGUACUGACGCUGAGACGCGAAAGCGUGGGGAGCGAACAGG